UACCCGCAGCACAAGUGGUGGUCAUUAUUAUUGGGCCUAAAGCAUCCGUAGCCGGUUUUACAAGUCCUCCGUUAAAUCCAGCUGCUUAACAGAUGGGCUGCGGAGGAUACUAUAAGACUAGGAGGCAGGAGAGGCAAGCGGUACUCAGUGGGUAGGGGUAAAAUCCGUUGAUCCAUUGAAGACCACCAGUGGCGAAGGCGGCUUGCCAGAAUGCGCUCGACGGUGAGGGAUGAAAGCUGGGGGAGCAAACCGG
rnacentral:rRNA from 1 species